ACCUGGUCCCUGCCUCUCCAGCUCCCGCUGCCCCCGCUGCGGUGGGACCGAGGGGAGCUGCCCCCGCCUCCCAAGUUGCCCUGCCUUGCAGUUGACUCAAUCCUGGGCGCUGACACAGAGGCUGGGGCUGCCUGCGGUGCCACUCAGUCUGCCCCUGCUUCCUCCCCUCCUGGCUCAGCGAUGGCAGACCCCCUGCCCUGGGCCACUCACACUGGGCAGGUCGCUGUUCCCAUCACAGCCGGGGGGAAUGAAGCUUUCACCUCUCAGCCGACCUCGGAUGAUGAGGACAUUGAAAUGGACACCACGCUCCCUUGCUAUGCUUGCACCAUCAUAACUUACCCUGACUCCAGCCUGACAUUCCCGCCAGUUUACCAAAUCCAAUACAGUGUGGAGCACAGGGACCCUGCAGUCCCCCCACCGGCCCACCUGCCCUGAAGGACUGCUGCUCUCCUCAGGCCAUCCCACUGGCCCCAACCACCCCUCAGCCCACCUGAGGGACUCCUCCUGGUCCCAGAAGGGACCCUCUCUCCCCAGCGCUCCUGUUAGCCCAGAGCUACACACUGUGGCGUUGGCGUUGCCAUGGAGGUACUAGACACUGGGAGCGGCAGUUCAGUUUGCAGUGCACCUGCAGGCCCACCUGUGGUUAUGGGUCCUGCGGCUCCCGGGGAUGGUGGGAGCCCUGGGGUCAGUAUGACCACCCCAGGCCCACUCAUCCCCAGCAUCCAGAGCAUCCACGUUAGAGAUAGACCGAGGAAGGCACGCAGCACUGCUUCUACAUCUCCCUUUGGCCAUAAGACCAGGGACCAUCUGGCCGCAGCCUGGCUGCUGAGGAGGAGGAGCAGGCAUCACCCAGUGCGUGCAUACACUGCUGGUUCCACCUGAACUCCGACCCCUGGAGCCCAGCCUGUGAUUACACAGGCGGUGUGGAGAUGGGGAGGGUACCCCAGUCCCAGAUGGAGGCGCUAGUGUUGACACUGGCCAUCAGUGCCCCUGCGGCCGCCUGGACAUGGAAAACCUCCUGCACUUGCAGCAGCCACCACCGUGGAGAAUGAAGGCACUUCAUUAAAUAGUUGAUGCAUGUGUGAACAAAUGAAUAAAUGAAAGCGGCAUUCAUUGGAAUCAAGUUUUGAUGGGAUCCAGAGAUAAUACAAAACAUAAACUUCCCAGUUGAAUCAGUGGAUUUAAGGUAGUUACCUGCCUUUCAGAGAGGUUACUUAACAGCAAACACUACAGAAACGUCCUGCAGUUCAUCCACCUGCAUUGCCUUCAGUCUGAACCCUGACUCUUCAAUCACAGCGGACUCAUUUGGAAUCACACAAAUUAAAAGGAGUUUCAGAAAUGGUGUUCAAACAAACAAGAAAACCUUUCCCUGGAGAAAAUGAACUUCAUCAUCUGAUGGACCAGAACAUUGUUCAGAAGGACAAAACUCCACUUGAGAUAAGUCACGAGUUCCCCUGGUUACUACUGCAUUUUAUAAAUCAUUGAGAUUUUAUUUAGCAUAUAAUUUUAUCAAUUUGUUACCAAAUGUUAUAAUUUAUACACUUCUAUUUUGUUUACUUUAUUAAUAUCUGCCUUUCUUAUUGGACUAAGCUUAGUAGCACCCAAAUUUAAUUUUUCACUUACUGGUAACUGAGAAUGCUACACUACAGAUGAUCAGUAAAUGUUGAUGAAAAAAUGAAUGAAAUUUUUUCCGUAUCCCAGUAGAAAAAAAA